AUAUGAUCCUGAUUAUCGACACAGGAUACAAACAAAUACUUCUAAAAUCAGUCCUGGUAGUUUUACUAAAAAAUGUAUAACAAUAAAAAUAAAAUACGGAUAUACUUCGCACGCGGGUGCAGCCACUGUUGUAAGUGGGAAAUUGGGAAGGUAGGAUACAGAAGGGAAUUUAAUGUAUAUCAGUAAGCAACGAUACACUAUUGUUAACAAAAAAACGAUUCUAAGUGGAGUUCAUUUAAUAAUGAUGCUUUGUCAAUAAUAUAUAAUAUGUCAUACUAUGGUAAAAUAAUUAAAUAGGCAUUAUAUAUUUUCUUUCAUAAUAUUUGUUUAAUAUUGUACCGAUUUUCUUGUUUUUUCACAUUUGCUGGGAAAACUUUUGGGAAAAUCGAAAAAAUUACUGGGGACGUACUCUAAGUCCCUUCUCAGUCCGAUUUCCUUCAGAAAAAGUACUACACUUAGAAAUUCGAGCAAGAUUUCUGGUAGAAAAGUUUGCACAACAAAUUGAGGAGUAUUUUUAUUAAAAUAACUCGAACGAGCGAUAGCUGGGUUUCUAGGUACAUCUAAAAACCAUUGGUAAAAUGCAUAUUUAUGAUUGCGCGUGUAUACAUACACAUUUCCACAAGAGUAUAUUAUAUAUUUACUGUAAGGUGUACCAACAAUAAAAUCAUUUUU